AAAGUUUAUGGACACAAGAUCUAUCUGUCACCUCAUUGAUGGUCAGGUUGACUAGGUGAGUCUUCUCUGCCUCCCCCACCCUUUUAUGUGUGUCCUUCCCAAAUGCGUGCUCAGUCAGAAGAUGAACUUCCCCAAAUAGACACAGACCUUUGAUUGAGGUAUAUGAGCAGCUGCUAGAACCUCCAAACAAGCUCUUAGGAUCCAAAGUUUCCAUCAAUAUAAUGGUAUCAGACAAAGCAGGUGCACUAUACAAGUGAGCUAUUUUAGCAGCCUGCAUACAUU
rnacentral:sRNA from 1 species